UACGUAGGGGGCAAGCGUUGUCCGGAUUUAUUGGGCGUAAAGAGCGUGUAGGCGGUUUGGUAGGUCCGCUGUGAAAACUCGAGGCUCAACCUCGAGACGCCGGUGGAAACCAUCAGACUAGAGUCCGGAAGAGGAGAGUGGAAUUCCUGGUGUAGCGGUGAAAUGCGCAGAUAUCAGGAGGAACACCCGUGGCGAAAGCGGCUCUCUGGGACGGUACUGACGCUGAGACGCGAAAGCGUGGGGAGCAAACAGG
rnacentral:rRNA from 1 species